CUGGACAGGUUCAAGGAGCCGCCUGCAUUUGGUCCCAUGUGCGACCUGCUAUGGUCGGAUCCACUUGAAGACUUCGGCAAUGAGAAGAAUGCGGAGCAUUUUAGUCACAAUAGCGUCCGCGGAUGCUCAUAUUUCUAUAGCUAUGCAGCAUGUUGCGAGUUUCUCCAGCAGAACAACCUCCUCUCUAUUAUUCGGGCUCAUGAAGCUCAGGACGCUGGG